AGAGUUUGAUCAUGGCUCAGGAUGAACGCUAGCGGCAGACUUAAUACAUGUGAGUCGAGGGGCAGCGGAUCCCUCCGGGGAUGCCGGCGACCGGCGAACGGGUGAGUAACACGUAUGGAACUUGCCCUUAACUGGGAAAUAGCUUUGAGAAAUCGAAGGUAAUGUCCCAUACCAUCUGAAGAAGGCAUCUUUUUCAGAUGAAAGCUCCGGCGGUUAAGGAUGGCCAUGCGGUCCAUUAGCUUGUUGGUGAGAUAACCGCUCACCAAGGCUGCGAUGGAUAGCUGAUCUGAGAGGAUGAUCAGCCACAUUGGCACUGAGACACGGGCCAAACUCCUACGGGAGGCAGCAGUAGGGAAUCUUGGUCAAUUGGCGAAAGCCAGAACCAGUCAUGCCGCGUGCAGGAUGAAGGCCCUACGGGUCGUAAACUGCUUUUAUUCGGGAAGAAAAAGUCUGUUUUCACAGACCUUGACGGUACCGAUUGAAUAAGGACCGGCCAACUCCGUGCCAGCAGCCGCGGUAAUACGGAGGGUCCAAGCGUUAUCCGGAUUCACUGGGUUUAAAGGGUGCGCAGGCGGCUAAGUAAGUCAGUGGUGAAAGCCUUCGGCUCAACCGGAGAAUUGCCAUUGAAACUACUUAGCUUGAGUGCAGUAGAGGUAGGCGGAAUGUAGCAUGUAGCGGUGAAAUGCAUAGAUAUGCUACAG
rnacentral:rRNA from 1 species